AACGAACGCUGGCGGCAUGCCUAACACAUGCAAGUCGAACGAGACCUUCGGGUCUAGUGGCGCACGGGUGCGUAACGCGUUGGAACCUGCCCUUAGGUUCGGAAUAACUCCCCGAAAGGGGUGCUAAUACCGGAUAAUGUCUUCGGACCAAAGAUUUAUCGCCUUUGGAUGGGCCCGCGUUGGAUUAGCUAGUUGGUAGGGUAAAAGCCUACCAAGGCGACGAUCCAUAGCUGGUCUGAGAGGAUGAUCAGCCACACUGGGACUGAGACACGGCCCAGACUACUACGGGAGGCAGCAGUGGGGAAUAUAGGACAAUGGGCGAAAGCCUGAACGAGCAAGGACGGGUGAGUGAUGAAGGCCUGAGGGUUGUAAAGCUCUUUUACCCGGGAUGAUAAUGACAGUACCGGGAGAAUAAGCGCCGGCUAACUCCGUG
rnacentral:rRNA from 1 species